CAGCCGCCGCGGGAAUACGUAGGUGGCAAGCGUUGUCCGGAAUUAUUGGGCGUAAAGGGCUCGCAGGCGGUUUCUUAAGUCUGAUGUGAAAGCCCCCGGCUCAACCGGGGAGGGUCAUUGGAAACUGGGAAACUUGAGUGCAGAAGAGGAGAGUGGAAUUCCACGUGUAGCGGUGAAAUGCGUAGAGAUGUGGAGGAACACCAGUGGCGAAGGCGACUCUCUGGUCUGUAACUGACGCUGAGGAGCGAAAGCGUGAGGAGCGAACAGGAUUAGAUACCCCAGUAGUCCCUGUCUCUUAUAC
rnacentral:rRNA from 1 species